rnacentral:lncRNA from 1 species
CUCUGUGACAUGUACCACCAUGCCCUGCAGGAUUUAUUUUUAAAGAACCUUUUGUUGGGCAUGCUAGCUUAUGUCUUAAAUCCCAACAAUCCAAGGGCAGAGGACAUCUGAUCUCUGUGAGUUAGGCCACCCUAGUCUACCCAGUGAGUACUAGGCCAACCAGGACUAUGUCAUGAUACUCUGUUUUAAACUCAUGAGUUAGGGUGUGUGUAAAGAUUUUCCACCCUAAAACACUCUUCCCCAGCACUAACUGGGCCAUCAGCAUUAUCCAUUUUUCUGUAUAUGUGAUAAAAUUCACAUUUUUCUCUACUGUCUCUAACCAAAUUCAUGGAUUCAGGACUAAUAAACAUUUCCAAGACAAAAAGAUAUAAAAUCACUUAGAAAAAGUGUGUGUGUGUUCUUGUGCUUGCAAUUUCUAUACUUAAGCAUGUGUAUGUAGAUUAUAUACUGGGACAUAUUUGGAAACCUGAGAAGGCUGCCAGGUACCCUGUUAGACUACCCCUCUCCUGAUUUCCUGAAAGAGUCUCUUAUUGUACCUGGAGCUAGGCUGUCUUGGCUAGCAGCCAUCUAGUCCCAGUGACCCUUGUGUUUUCAUCCCCAACAACACUGAGGUUACACGCACAUUUAGCCACAUCACACUUUUUAUGUGAGUGUCAGGGAUUUGAACUUGGAUCUUCACACUUGCACAGCAAACACUGCUACCCACUGAGCUACCUCUCCCCAGAUGCCAGGAAAGAAUUUUAAUGUGUCAAAGGCUAAGUUAUGGUCAUGUUUAUGGUAUACUGUGAUUGACUCUCAGUGUUCACAGAGACUCUAGGAAGGCAAGGUGAGAUUUGACAAUAAUGGUACCUCAAAUUGGCAAAUAUUUUGUUCUGUGUGACUAUUCCAGAUUUGGUUGGGGAGGGGCAUGCCACUUACCAAGACAAUUGGGCCAUCCUUUGUAAACACAGCUUUCAGUAUUUGACAGGGAGAGAAUAUGCUCUUAGUUGCCAGAGCAUCCCUGUUGUGACAGUCCCAUAGUUUGAUAGUUGAGCUUAUAUCUACAGUGACCGCAAUGUGCAUCUCAGGGAGGGUAGUCAUCAGUUCAAUAUAGGAUUCCUGUACUGGGCUUUCCCAGGUCAUAGCACCCUGGAGAACAAGAGCAUCAUGUUGUCUGAGCACCUCUAGUUCAACUGCUUUCACUCACCAGCUUUACUUUGCAUCCUUGUCCAGACUGGAACACCUACCUUCUUACUUCCAAGAAAAGAAUAUGAAAGUUCUAAGCAUCCAUCACAGGAUGUGGUAGCACAGACCUAGACUUCCAUUGUGGGAGGCAGAGGCAGGAAGUUCACUAGCAGCUUGAGGCUAGUCCAGUGUAUCAUGUCAAGUUGCAGGCCAGUUGGAAUUGCAUUACAAGACUAUCUCAAAAAAGAAAAGGAAACACAGGGCUGCAGAGAUGGCUCAGCAGUUAAGACCACUAGCUGUGCUUAAUGAAAGGAGCUUAGUUCAAUUCCCUAAACACUCAUUGUAGCUCACAAUUGUUAGUAAUUCCACUUCCAGGGGAUCUGACUCCCUCACAUGGAAAUACACGCAGGCAGAAUACCUAUGUACAUAAAAAUAAAAAAUAAUCACAAAGAAGAAAAACAACAUCUAUAUUAUUUGUGGCAGGAGUGGACAGAAAAACAGGACUCAUGCACUUAGGAGGCAGAGGUAGGAGUGUCCCCAUGAGUCCAUGGUCAGCUUGAACUCUAGGAUAGCCUGAUAGCAUCCUAAACAGCCUCCUCCAACCCACCUGACAAAACCUAAACCAAACAAAACCCAAAAACUCCAAAACCUCCAACCCCAAGAUUGUCCUCUUCAUUAUGUUACAUUUCCAGUGUGUUGUAAGAUACAACGUUUUUCAACAUUGAGACCAUAACAAAAUAAAACCCCUUUGCUGUAUGUUGGGACACCACAUUAGUUCCAGCACUCAGGAGGCAGAGGCAGGCAGAUUUGUUGAGUUGGAGGCUAGCCUGGCCUACAUAGUUCCAGAUCAGCUGAGACUACAGGGUAAGACCUUCUCCCAGACAAAGAGAACCAAGCUACCUCAAGAAUGGAUUAAUGUUCACUGCAUUAGGUUCUACAACAUACUAAAAUAAAAAAUAGUUGAGAGAACAGAGGAUUCUCAAGAAACACACAAUGAGGUUCCAGCAUUCACCGAAUUCUCCCCUACAAUGGCUCAGCAACUGGCCAUCUCAAAGGUCAUAGUAUACAUAGAAAGAAACUCUUGCAUAAAUCAGCACUGACUGCACAGUGGCAAUCAGGUGUCAUAAUGGUGAGAGAAACCAGGAGUAAUGUCUUCAAGAACCAUAGUCAUUGCCAGUCCUAUGUUCUUUCUCACUCGUAUUAGGGAACCUACCAUCCCUCUCCCAGGGCAUCAUAUGGACCCCUAGAACUCACAAAACCAUAGAGAACAGAGAUUAUACCUACACACUGUGAGGCAGCCAGGUCAACAAUGCUACCACAGCUCUAGCCCUGUUUCUUCCCCUAAGGCACUCAGCCCAGGAAGGUUCCCGGAGAACUAUGGUCAUGGCAUCUGCAUGGUAUUGAAACAAUGUCAGGAAGGUAGACCAAUGAAAUAGAAUUGAUAACCCAGAAAUGAACACACAUAACUACAGUCACUUGGUUUGACAAAGGAGCUAAAACCACCUAGUGGAAAACUAAGAUAGAUUUUCAACAAAUGGUGCUGGUUCAACUGGCAAUCAACAUGUAGAAGAAUGAAAAUUGAUCCAUUCUUAACUCCUUGUAGAAUGCUCAAGUCCAAGGACCUCCACAUAAAACCAGAUAUACUGAAUCUAAUAGAAGAGAAAGUGGGGAAAGUUUCAUACAUUAAGGCACAGGGGAAAAGUUCUUGAACAGAACACCAAUGUCUUAUGUUCUAUGAUCAAGAAUCAAAUGGGACCUCAUAAAAUUGCAAAGCAAUUUUAAGGCAAACGACACUGUUAAUAACAUAAACCAGCAAACAACAUAUUGGGAAAAGUUCUUUACUAAUCCUCCAUCCAAUAGAGGGCUAAUAUCCAAUAUAUAC